rnacentral:rRNA from 1 species
CCUACGGGUGGCAGCAGUGAGGAAUAUUGGUCAAUGGACGAGAGUCUGAACCAGCCAAGUAGCGUGAAGGAUGACUGCUCUAUGGGUUGUAAACUUCUUUUAUAAAGGAAUAAAACGUGGCACGUGUGCCUUUUUGUAUGUACUUUAUGAAUAAGGAUCGGCUAACUCCGUGCCAGCAGCCGCGGUAAUACGGAGGAUCCGAGCGUUAUCCGGAUUUAUUGGGUUUAAAGGGUGCGUAGAUGGGUUGUUAAGUCAGUGGUGAAAGUCUGUGGCUCAACCGUAAAAUUGCAAUUGAUACUGGCGGGCUUGAGUAUAGUUGAGGUAGGCGGAAUUCGUGGUGGAGCGGUGAAAUGCUUAGAUAUCACGAAGAACCCCGAUUGCGAAGGCAGCUUACUAAACUGUGACUGACAUUGAUGCACGAAAGUGUGGGGAUCAAACAGGAUUAGAUACCCUUGUAGUC